UCAGGACGAACGCUGGCGGCGUGCCUAACACAUGCAAGUCGAGCGAUGAAAUCCUUCGGGAUGGAUUAGCGGCGGACGGGUGAGUAACACGUGGGUAACCUGCCUUGUAGAGGGGGAUAGCCUUCCGAAAGGAAGAUUAAUACCGCAUAACAUCUUUUUAUCGCAUGGUAGAAAGAUCAAAGGAGCAAUCCGCUACAAGAUGGACCCGCGGCGCAUUAGGCUAGUUGGUGAGGUAACGGCUCACCAAGGCGACGAUGCGUAGCCGACCUGAGAGGGUGAUCGGCCACAUUGGAACUGAGACACGGUCCAGACUCCUACGGGAGGCAGCAGUGGGGAAUAUUGCGCAAUAGGGGGAAACCCUGACGCAGCAACGCCGCGUGAAUGAAGAAGGCCUUAGGGUUUGUAAAGUUCUGUUUACGGGGACGAUAAUGACGGUACCCGUGGAGGAAGCCACGGCUAACUACGUGCCAGCCGCCGC
rnacentral:rRNA from 1 species